CAGUCGACUUAGACAUGGUUCAGACAAGGGGAACCUGACUAUUUAAUUAAAACAAAGAAUUGUGAUGGUCCCUGCAGAUGCUAACGCAGUGUGAUUUUUGCCCAAUGCUCUGAAUGUUAAAGUGAAGAAAUUCAACCAAGCACGGGUAAACAGCGAGAGUAAAUAUGAGUCUUUUAAGGUAGCCAAAUGCCUCGUCAUCUAAUUUGUGAUGCACAUGAAUGGAUUAACUAGAUUCCCACUAUCCCUAUCUAUUGUCUAGUGAAACCACAACCAAGGGAAUGGGCUUGGCAUAAUCAAUAGGGAAAGAAGACCUUGUUGAGCUUGACUCUAGUAUGAAUUUGUGAAAUGACUUGAGAGGUGUAGAAAAAGUGGGAUUAAUUUCCGGCACAAAUGAAAUACAACUACUUUUAAUGUUAUUUUACUUAUUAUGUGGGGCAGAGAGGGGCAUUUACCCUAUUUUUGUCCUUAAGACACGUUUCAAUGGGUCGAUCUGGGCAAAAGACAUUGUCAAGUGGGGAUUUUGGAUGGGGUGACACAUCUGUUAAAAGAUAACAUAAAAUAUAAUUGGUCUAGAUAGAAAAUUUGUAUUUGGGAGAUCCUAGUGCACAACCACCCUUAUCACAUUUCCCUCCUAAUUUGUAGU
rnacentral:ncRNA from 1 species